GUGCCAGCAGCCGCGGUAAUACAGAGGGUGCAAGCGUUAAUCGGAAUUACUGGGCGUAAAGCGAGCGUAGGUGGCUUGAUAAGUCAGAUGUGAAAUCCCCGGGCUUAACCUGGGAACUGCAUCUGAAACUGUUAGGCUAGAGUAGGUGAGAGGGAAGUAGAAUUUCAGGUGUAGCGGUGAAAUGCGUAGAGAUCUGAAGGAAUACCGAUGGCGAAGGCAGCUUCCUGGCAUCAUACUGACACUGAGGCUCGAAAGCGUGGGUAGCAAACAGGAUUAGAUACCCUGGUAGUCCACGCCGUAAACGAUGUCUACUAGUCGUUGGGUCCCUUGAGGACCUACUGACGCAGCUAUA
rnacentral:rRNA from 1 species